GGGCCCGUGGCUUAGCCCGGUUAGAGCGCCCGGCUGAUAUCCGGGAGGUCCCGGGUUCAAAUCCCGGCGGGCCCACCA
rnacentral:tRNA from 1 species